GACGAACGCUGGCGGCGUGCUUAACACAGGCAAGUCGAACGAUGAUGCCCAGCUUGCUGGGUGGAUUAGUGGCGAACGGGUGAGUAACACGUGAGUAACCUGCCCCUGACUCUGGGAUAAGCGUUGGAAACGACGUCUAAUACUGGAUAUGACUGCCGGCCGCAUGGUCUGGUGGGGGAAAGGUUUUUUGGUUGGGGAUGGACUCGCGGCCUAUCAGCUUGGUGGUGAGGUAAUGGCUCACCAAGGCGACGACGCGUAGCCGGCCUGAGAGGGUGACCGGCCACACUGGGACUGAGACACGGCCCAGACUCCUACGGGAGGCAGCAGUGGGGAAUAUUGCACAAUGGGCGAAAGCCUGAUGCAGCAACGCCGCGUGAGGGAUGACGGCCUUCGGGUUGUAAACCUCUUUUAGUAGGGAAGAAGCGAAAGUGACGGUACCUGCAGAAAAAGCACCGGCUAACUACGUGCCAGCCGCCGCGGUAA
rnacentral:rRNA from 1 species